UUAAUAUUUUUGGUAAGCUGCAAUGUUUGGACUGCAAAGUGCAUGAUUUCUGUGCCCUCGAUAUUUUUGGGCUUAAUGGGCCAAAAUUGGAAUGAUGGGCCAACGGGCCCAAUUCGGAAAUCCCCAACCAUAGUGGGCUUGGAGCUGUGAAGGAAUUCGAAAUGGCCACCCGUUCUAAAAGUUUGAUUUUCUUCUGGUGAACUGGACAUCCUUUUAUUUACGUUUGAAGUUUUGGGUUUUUAAAUGUAAUAAGGUCGCUUAAUUAUUUUUAAUGGUUUUAAUAUGUAUUACUAAGAUAGGUAUUACUUAUUUUAACUGUUGAAAUUGGAUAGCUUUAGGGCGCGUUUUCAAAAACAACAGUUGAUUUCAAAAUAA